AGAGGCUGGAGAGCCUUGAGAACCCAUCUCUACUCUAACCCCCGGCCGGGUCCACAGGCUCCUACAACUGGCUGAGAGGAAGGUCUUAGCUUUGUGAAACCUCGUUUUUUCCUUCGGAGAAGUGGGGACAAGAGCUGCCACGGAUAUCCCUGGUGUUAUGGAGUUUCACUGAAAGGGCAGGACGAUGAGAGGAAGACAUAGACAGUCGAGAGGAGAGAAGAGGAGAAACAUCUGGAAAACAUCAGUGUUGUGGAGCCUUCCGGAAACUGACCUCACCACCAAAAGGGUGGAACCUGUUCACUCCUGGAUGUUUAAGAAACACUCCAACAUCCUUUAGUCUGGCAUACGCUUGGAGUCACACCAACAAUCUAUUACAGACCACCUGAUACAUAAUAGCAACUAAGUUAGCA